UCAGUCGGCUGGACGCUCCGCACCCGCAAGGGAGCGGGGAGGAAAGUCCGGGCUCCACGGAAGAACGGUGCCGGAUAAUUUCCGGCGAGGGCAACCUCAGGGAAAGUGCCACAGAAAGGAAACCGCCCCGCCUGUAUUUCGGCCCCAGCACGCCAAAGGGCCGGGCCGAAAUACCGGCGGGGUAAGGGUGAAAGGGUGGGGUAAGAGCCCACCGCGCGACCGGUAACGGAAGCGGCACGGUAAACCCCACCGGGAGCAAAACCGAAUAGGGGCGACGCGGAACCGCAAGGGUCCGGCCCGUUUCCAGGCCAGUCGCCCGGGUAGGUUGCGUGAGGCGUUCGGCAACGAACGUCCCAGAUGAAUGGUCGUCGCGUGCGGCGCUUGCGCCGUGCCAUACAGAACCCGGCUUAGAGGCCGACUGACACU
rnacentral:RNase_P_RNA from 1 species